UACGUAGGGUGCAAGCGUUGUCCGGAAUUAUUGGGCGUAAAGGGCUCGUAGGCGGUCCAUCGCGUCGGGAGUGAAAAGCUGGGGCUUAACCCCAGUCCUGCUUCCGAUACGGGUGGACUAGAGGUAGGUAGGGGAGAACGGAAUUCCUGGUGUAGCGGUGAAGUGCGCAGAUAUCAGGAGGAACACCGGUGGCGAAGGCGGUUCUCUGGGCCUUACCUGACGCUGAGGAGCGAAAGCAUGGGGAGCAAACAGG
rnacentral:rRNA from 1 species